rnacentral:rRNA from 1 species
GAUGAACGCUGGCGGCGUGCCUAACACAUGCAAGUCGAGCGAACCCUUCGGGGUGAGCGGCGGACGGGUGAGUAACGCGUGGGUAACCUGCCCUGUACACACGGAUAACAUACCGAAAGGUAUGCUAAUACGAGAUAAUAUAUUUUAAUCGCAUGGUUAAGAUAUCAAAGCUCCGGCGGUACAGGAGGGACCCGCGUCUGAUUAGCAAGUUGGUGAGGUAAUGGCUCACCAAGGCGACGAUCAGUAGCCGACCUGGGAGGGUGAUCGGCCACACUGGAGCUGAGACACGGUCCAGACUCCUACGGGAGGCAGCAGUGGGGAAUAUUGCACAAUGGGCGAAAGCUUGAUGCAGCAACGCCGCGUGAGCGAUGCAUGCCUUCGGGUCGUAAAGCUCUGUCCUCAAGGAAGAUAAUGACGGUACUUGUGGAGGAAGCCCCAGCUAACUACGUGCCAGCCGCCGCGGUAA